ACUUUUCAGACCAAGGGAACAGCGCAGAAAACCAUAACGAAAUCCUCAGACAUUGUAAACCUUCAUCGGGAAGCGUAAAUCACUAUCAUUGUAUCGCUGGAACGAUGAGAAAUUAGAGUAACUAAUCCUCUGACGUAGUAAACUUCGACUAGGAAGCAUGAAUUUCUACGAAAGGGGAGGUGAACUAUGAAUUCUGUUAGCAUAUGAUCCUUCACAGGAGAUAAUGUAUAAAUUUAUAAAGAAAUCCUUCGAUCUACGAUAAAAUUCUAAACGAAUAUUAACGCGCAAGCCGUCGUUUAAACGUUAAACCCGGAAUAUUUUCCGUUGUUUUCAUAAAUGUCGAGUUGAAUCGCGGGGACCCGGCCAAAUUAUGUUCCCCGUUUGCGUAAACAGUCGUCCGGACGGGUUUUGAAAUCGACGACAGACUUUCUUUGUUCCGGAAUUGUGGCCUGACGCCCGAACGGAGCAACCUUAUUUUUUGAUCCACGGCUUUCGGCCCGCACGGCUCGACGGCAACACGACGAAAGGACUAAAGAUAGUUGAGCACGGUUGCAGCUCCGAGAUCUUCCGGAACGAUCGGACCAGGCUUUACGCUGACGAAAGGGUCAGGAAGCCGAAAGGGAGACGUCGCCGACGGACGCGGGAUAGACGGAGAGAAAGAAAAAGAGAGAUAGAGGGAGAGCGAAGGGGGCUAAAUUUAGUUUGCGUCCAGUAAACACGAUACCGUUUCGCUUUCGACGAAUGUCGGGAGGAUUGAAAUACCGGAAAGCCAAGAAUGGCGCGACAUGUUCGACGAACGUUCAAUCUACAAUACGUCUACAUCUCGUAUCUUUUUAAUAAACAGCAGUUUAUCGUUUGAAACGGUUGAAGCGUGAUUUUAAACUACUGCGGAUCCAACGUCUGAAUUCUAUUUUCAAAGUUUCACGAUAACGUCGAUUUUUCGUCGAGUCCUUUGAAAUCAAUAUUUCUCUUGCUCAGAUUUUCAUAUAUUUGGAUAAACAUCGAUGGUAUAUACGUUCUGAUGUGUAGACUAUUUUGUGAUCCGUAGAACCGUUGAACUUUUCAAUUAACUGUUAACGCGAACCCCGUUACGAUGUCUAAAUAUAGCCGGGUUUGGUAAACACGAUACGACUCUCCCUCCUUCGACAUUCGAUCCCGAUGAGGAAGGUCUUUUUUUAAUCUUCCGCCGCGGAUCGAUUCGAAUGACAACGGGAAUUCACGGCGAUAACGAAUGGAUUGGCUGUUACAUACCCGCAAUUUGUUCGGGGGGAAGUUCGUCGGCCUGUGAACACAAAAAUAAUGAAGUUGAAGACGUCUUCCUCGCACUCGUCGCACUGACUGGAGAUACUUGUUGCAAAUAUUAAUUUAUUAAUCGCUCCCACGUGAACGGGGACGUCAAAGAAUUAUUGAAGAAGAAAAAGAAAAUUUUGUUAUUCUGAUUGCACAGAGUCUGCGAGCUGUUACCAAGUAAAAUGUCAUCGUAUCGAAUUAAUUCGAAGGAACCCCGAAGUGGUCGUGCAAUGUUAACACCGAUCCGAUAGAACUCGUGCAUAUUACGUUAACACUAAUCAACCGGACUUGCAAGUUUUAUUUAAUGGAAAGAGAACACCAAGAAUCGUCGACGACAAAUAAAAGGAGCUGACCGAACGAUGCUUGCUACUUAACGCAGUAGAAAUAACCGUAAGUGGUCAGACACAAAGUCGUGGCCUUUCUUCCAUUAUCUUAAAGAAGGCUUAC